rnacentral:lncRNA from 1 species
CACCUCGACGUUCGAAAUCACGCAAAACGGUACAUAAAAUAUUGGGCUUUUCACAGAUUUUUCGUUUUACCAAUUUUGACCCCUCAACAAACUUUACGCGAUUCCCGAAGAUCCGUCUGUCGGAUUUUCGAUCGGAUCGCGCUAGCGCGUUCAGCACGACUGGAGCAACGAACUCACUAUUUGUUUUCACCCAAUAUGAUUGCCGAUUUGCGACGAAACCCAUCACUCUCCAAUUUCUCCCAAAACCACACAUCUAUAUAUGUGUAAAUCCAUUAAACCCCCCUUUUCUCAAAAACAGUGCAUCAAAACCCAAUUCUGUCAGUUCCAUUG